rnacentral:rRNA from 1 species
UACAGAGGUCUCAAGCGUUGUUCGGAUUCAUUGGGCGUAAAGGGUGCGUAGGCGGCGCGGUAAGUCGGGUGUGAAAUCUCGGAGCUUAACUCCGAAACUGCAUUCGAUACUGCCGUGCUUGAGGACUGGAGAGGAGACUGGAAUUUACGGUGUAGCGGUGAAAUGCGUAGAUAUCGUAAGGAAGACCAGUGGCGAAAGCGGCUCACUGGACCAUAACUGACGCUGAGGCGCGAAAGCUAGGGGAGCAAACAGG